CAUCACCGACUCGCUUUUCCCGCCAUACCGAUACCUACACAGACACGCUCGCAUUGUGCUAACAACGACUUCAACGCCAUAUAUUCAUUCACUCACUCACCGUUACUCUUAAUCACUAUAUCAUUCAUCUGAUCAGGGUUUGUUGGUGACCCCUUAAAUAGGAACAUGUUUGUUUCUCUUUUCUAUUCUCUGAGACGUGUUGCCGAUGAAGUAAAGAAGUGGCGUCCGUCCUGCUGGAGCUGAGCGUGGAUAUACUUUUCUCAAGUACAAUCUCAUCAUAACAUGUCAUCUUACUAAUCUAUUGGCAUGUUGUGCACAGUAGCCAAGAUCAAGAAUGGAGAAAGCAUAACUUUUGUAAUGGUUAAUCGUGACUUUACUUUUCUCAAGUACAACUUCACAGUAGCAUAUCACUGAACUAAUCUGUUUGCACGUUAUAGUAGGUCAGGUAUUUUACAGAGUUGGUGUUGAUAUACCUGAAGAAAAAUAGCCCUAGAGGCUCCAAGUAUUCAUGACAUUUUCAUUUGUAAUAUUACAUUCCUCCUACAAAUAAGAGAUAGCAGAAGCAUUGCUUGUACAAAUGUUCCUUUGCUAUUAAUUUUGAAACCCAAUAAAAAA